CGGGAUAAGUGCUGAAAGCAUCUAAGCAUGAAGCCCCCCUCAAGAUGAGAUUUCCCAACUUCGGUUAUAAGAUCCCUCAAAGAUGAUGAGGUUAAUAGGUUCGAGGUGGAAGCAUGGUGACAUGUGGAGCUGACGAAUACUAAUCGAUCGAAGACUUAAUCAAAAUAAAUGUUUUGCGAAGCAAAAUCACUUUUACUUACUAUCUAGUUUUGAAUGUAUAAUUUACAUUCAUAUGUCUGGUGACUAUAGCAAGGAGGUCACACCUGUUCCCAUGCCGAACACAGAAGUUAAGCUCCUUAGCGUCGAUGGUAGUCGAACUUACGUUCCGCUAGAGUAGAACGUUGCCAGGCAGUUUUAAAUCGGAGAAUUAGCUCAGCUGGGAGAGCAUCUGCCUUACAAGCAGAGGGUCGGCGGUUCGAACCCGUCAUUCUCCACCAUUUAUUCUUACAUAUUGCCGGCCNCGGGAUAAGUGCUGAAAGCAUCUAAGCAUGAAGCCCCCCUCAAGAUGAGAUUUCCCAACUUCGGUUAUAAGAUC
rnacentral:rRNA from 1 species